GACGAACGCUGGCGGCGUGCUUAACACAUGCAAGUCGAACGGUGACGAAGAGCUUGCUCUUCUGAUCAGUGGCGAACGGGUGAGUAACACGUGAGCAACCUACCCUUGACUCUGGGAUAACAGUUGGAAACAGCUGCUAAUACCGGAUACGACCCCGGCAGGCAUCUGCUGGGGUGGAAAGCUCCGACGGUCAAGGAUGGGCUCGCGGCCUAUCAGCUUGUUGGUGAGGUAAUGGCUCACCAAGGCGACGACGGGUAGCCGGCCUGAGAGGGCGACCGGCCACACUGGGACUGAGAUACGGCCCAGACUCCUACGGGAGGCAGCAGUGGGGAAUAUUGCACAAUGGGCGAAAGCCUGAUGCAGCAACGCCGCGUGCGGGAUGACGGCCUUCGGGUUGUAAACCGCUUUCAGCAGGGACGAAGUGAAAAUGACGGUACCUGCAGAAGAAGCACCGGCUAACUACGUGCCAGCCGCCGCAGUAAGAC
rnacentral:rRNA from 1 species